AGAUGCCAUCCUCUCAUUCGGGCUGCAUCCCCACGUCUCGUGUUGCCCUCUCUCCUCCCCAUUGCUCUUGUUUUCCCCCUGAUUUCUCUUUUCUAUUUUCCCCUUUGUGGUUUGACUAGGCGGUUUAUAGGGUCAUCCAAUUUUUAUUUGCAGGUGCUAAUCUUGCUGCAAGUUGUUGGCUGGGUCUCUUUCUCCCUAGGGAAGGCAUAGUAGACCUCGGGUAAAUCAAGGAUCUCGCGGUGGCUAUAGCGAUGCCCCUAUCAUCUCAUCCCUCUUUCUAUGUGCUUCUCUCCAUGGACAGCAUCGCCAUGGCCAGAUCGAUGGUUAAAGCCGUAGCAUUUUCCCUUGAUUAAGUUCAGAAGAUGGCGCUCGUUGCCAGCGGGAUCUCGAGGAACAUGUGACCUCCAUGGUGUUCACUGCCAGACGGUUUGGCAAGGAGGGGUAGCUUAUGCGGCGAUCUUUCUUGGGGAACCCUGGGCAACCGUCAUUCAGGUCUCCUACUAAAGCUCCUCCUCGCCACACGCCAUGUCUUCCACCCUGACAUAUUUCUUGCUCUUCUGGGCUUGUGGAAGUGGCCACUUAUGGAGGUUGAUUGAUUUGGUUGGUUCGAUAGGAUCCCAACCUGAGGAGAAUAAUGGUUUGGAGAUGGCUAGCGGUCUGUGGGGCAUCGACCAGACUGGCAGCGACCCCGAUGGAGGGGAAGGGCUCGACAGGCGCUUCCAGGCAGGAGAGGCUUGGGGGCCUCGUGGAUUGGGGAGAUGGCGGCCACCCGGGUUUCUUCGAUCGAUCUGCGAUCUGGACAGGGCCACGGCAACGCGAGCGUGGGGCGUAGGCGAGCGACCCUCUGCAGCCACGCGUUGACAGUUACCUGUCGAGACUAUAAGAAGAAUUUUGAGGAAGAAUUUGAUCAAGAAGACCAAGAAAGAUGGUUUGCUUUGGAGAGGAAUUAGAUGAGGCCCAUGAGUCCUAAAGAUAAUACAAUCAAUCCAACUGUUAACUUUGGUGUGCUUUUUGGACGGACUAAUAUGAAGACGCUGGCUAGCUCGCAUUGCCAUCAUAUAGUCUAGAAGCAAGGGCAAGGAUUAUAGGGAAAAUAAAGGUACAAUGCUCCAAAUAUAUUUUACCUUCUCGGCGAAGUUUUGGUGCUUGCGCAAGAAAAUAACACCAUCAAUAUACCUACUGCUCAUUUUUUAUUUAGGCAAUUAGCCAUCCGUAGGAAAAGCCAACUAAUUGUACUUUCUCUAUUGCAGAGGUGAAAUUACUACUACUUUUCGAAAGUUUUUUUUAUGCAUGUUCCCCUUUCUUAAUCUUCUAUUUUUUCAAAUGUACAUACCUAUGCUUAUAAUCAUUAUUACACUUGGUUCUACUGCAAGAGCAUACUUUAUCUUUCCAUUUCCAUCAAUCCAUCUUGAUGUGUGAUCGGGUUGUUGUGUGAUGCUGUUAGCUAUUGAUAUGGUGUCUGCUUAUGUCUGUUCAUAAGUACACCCUUUGCCUAUUGUUCGGUUGAGACAUAUAGCAAGCACAAGAAAAAUCUGCUAAUGAGUCCUUAGCUAGCUUUUGAUAUUUUAGUCCUCUGGCCUUGUUCACACAUAGCUCCAAAAUUAGGGAACUAGAAAUAACUGAUUCUUGUCCCCAAAAAACAGCUAGGUGAUUUUCAUAGACCUUCUGACCUUCAUUAUUAUAUGCUUUUGCAUUUGUUGCAUUCGUUCUUUCAGGUUGUUUCAUUAUUUUUCCAUGUUGGCUUUAGGAUGCCCAGUGUAUUUCAGCUCAUAUGUACAUGUAUUGUGUAUGGUUUAUUUGUCCUAUCUGCCGGUGUCUGAGCAUGACAAGCAGCAAAGAGGGAGGGGGAUUUUUCAAGUACAAAGCAAAAUGUGCACAAAAUAGAUGCAGCUCACAAUGUCAUAGCAUAGAGUGGAAAAAAUAUACAUUGUACAUAUAUCAUAAAUACUAUUAUCCAGUGCUCACGAUUUAUGUUCACAUAGAUACAUGGUAACAACAACAUCCCUGGUUUUGUGGAUAAUGACUACUCCAGUGCCACAACUGUAGAAUACACUAGACUGGUCAAAAGUGCUCCAUUGCCUCAAUUGUAGAAUACACCGGACUGGCCAAAAGUUGUCCAUAGCCACAACUGUAGAAUACAUGUCGCAGUUUGACCUUCAUACUCUCAAUUUGAAGCUUCAGCUCAUCCUGUUUAGCCAAAAAAUAUCAUAAAUUGCACAUUCAUUUGGGUAAACAUGUUGGCUUUCAUGUAGUGAUAUUUUGCUUUGGCAGUGUGCAUCGUAUGAUGCUGAGGCCUAGAGAUGAACCCUUCCAUCAUCUUAAAAGAAAAAAAAGUUUGUACCCAAUAGAAUGAAAUAUUUUUGCCCAGGGUGAAACAACUACCUGGGCAUGAGAAUGCCUAAGGUCUCUUGCAGUUUCUGAAACUGCUGCCUGCAGAUCAGAGAUAUCUCGGAAGCUAUCUCCCCGGAAGCUCCUGUAAACUGAAUCCCCACUGCUGCUGCUACUGAGUUGCGCUACUGUGUGACUGGUUGUGAAUUUGUCUUCAGGGUUGUAUCAGCAUGGUAAGAGAUCUCGCUGCCAGCACUGCCUAAAGGGCUAGCUUCAGGAUUGACCUAUUUAUAUUUACGAGUGUGUGAUCACAUUGCGAUGGCAGAGAUGACUGGCGGAAUAAUACAGUUGAUGUUCCAUUUCUGUCAGCCCACUCUGCUGUAGACAGAAUAGUUAGUAACACUCUAAUACACUUUUUUGUUUGUAUUCAGUUGAUAGGUGUAAUCAACAAUUUUCAGAAAACAAAAUCAAAUGCAGACUUGAGUAUUACUUGAGGGCGCACUGGAAAGGCUUCCAGAGCUAGGAGAAGAAACGGUUGAAGAAGAUAUGGUCUUGGGUGUUUCACAGGCAUCAGGUGUAAGAGUGCACGAAUGACAGUUUGCCCUUUGAAACGACGUACGCCGUACAGAAGCUUGGAAUGCAUUCAGAGAUUUUUGUUGAAGUCUUGCUUCCUUUGAGCUUCCUGCAAAAAAUCAACAAUGGUAACCACACGAUUAAGAUUGCACUAGGCAUUUCUUAUCCUAUACUCUACUGGGUUUUAUUCUUUAUAAAAAUUGUUCAGCUAAA